rnacentral:rRNA from 1 species
AUUGAACGCUGGCGGCAUGCCUUACACAUGCAAGUCGAACGGCAGCACGGGUGCUUGCACCUGGUGGCGAGUGGCGAACGGGUGAGUAAUACAUCGGAACGUACCUUAUCGUGGGGGAUAACGCAGCGAAAGCUGUGCUAAUACCGCAUACGCCCUGAGGGGGAAAGCGGGGGAUCGAAAGACCUCGCGCGAUUAGAGCGGCCGAUGCCUGAUUAGCUUGUUGGUGGGGUAAAAGCCCACCAAGGCGACGAUCAGUAGCUGGUCUGAGAGGACGAUCAGCCACACUGGGACUGAGACACGGCCCAGACUCCUACGGGAGGCAGCAGUGGGGAAUUUUGGACAAUGGGGGAAACCCUGAUCCAGCCAUGCCGCGUGAGUGAAGAAGGUCUUCGGGUUGUAAACUGCUUUUGUACGGAACGAAAAGGUUUCUCUUAAUACGAGGAGCUCAUGACGGUACCGUAAGAAUAAGCACCGGCUAACUACGUG